AAUAAAAAUAACAAAAUUAUGUUUAAAUUCAUGGGACAAGGUUAUAUGGUGGGACGGGUUUGAGUCAGCAUAAAUACAAGGCGGUAUACCACGGAUAAAAUCUUAAAAUAAACAAUCAAAAUCCGAUUAUACAAUUUUAUACACUAAACAAAAAAAAAUAUUAUCAAAGAUACAAC
rnacentral:sRNA from 1 species